GAUCCUGCUCAGGAUGAACGCUAGCUACAGGCUUAACACAUGCAAGUCGAGGGGCAGCGGGAUUGAAGCUUGCUUCAAUUGCCGGCGACCGGCGCACGGGUGAGUAACGCGUAUCCAACCUUCCGUACACUCAGGGAUAGCCUUUCGAAAGAAAGAUUAAUACCUGACGGUAUCUUAAGCACACAUGUAAUUAAGAUUAAAGAUUUAUCGGUGUACGAUGGGGGUGCGUUCCAUUAGGUAGUAGGCGGGG
rnacentral:rRNA from 1 species